GCCGACACCAUCAGUCCCCUGGCUGACCUGGGACGGACGGUCACACGACUGGAGAUAUACGAUUGUACUGAUCACACGGCCGGCAGCCUGGAGCCCCUCACCAGGUGCACUGGGCUGGAGCGCCUAUCAGUCUCCGCCGCCGACCUCCCGCGACUGAGGGGACAGCUGCCGGAGGGCCUCAGGUGCCUCAAUGUCAGAGGGCCGGAGGUGACGGAGCCGAGGUGGCCGGGAUGGUACCC